rnacentral:miRNA from 1 species
UGGGAGCGGGUUCCGGCAGACGCUG